UGGCUCAGAACGAACGCUGGCGGCGUGGAUUAGGCAUGCAAGUCGAACGAAUCCCAGAGGGCUUGCUCUUUGGGGGAAGUGGCGAAAGGGGCAGUAAUGCAUGGGUAACCUACCCCGGGGACCGGCAUAGCCCUCCUAACGGAGGGGUAAUUCCGGGCGAUGCGGCGAGAUCGCAUGGUCUUGCCGUGAGAUGAAUUUCGCCUCGGGAGGGGCUCAUGUGAUAUUAGCUUGUUGGUUUUUUAACGGCUCACCAAGACAAAGAUGUCUAGCGGGUGUGAGAGCACGACCCGCNCCUCUCUCUCUGAGACACUG
rnacentral:rRNA from 1 species